rnacentral:rRNA from 1 species
CCCUUAGAUGUCCUGGGCUGCACGCGCGCUACACUGAUGUGUCCAGUAAGCACCUAACCUCUUCCGAAAGGAACGGGUACCUUUGCAAAGCACAUCGUGAUGGGGAUAGAUUAUUGCAAUUAUUAGUCUUGAACGAGGAAUUCCUAGUAAGCACAAGUCAUCAGCUUGUGUUGAUUACGUCCCUGCCCUUUGUACACACCGCCCGUCGCUCCUACCGAUUGAAUGUUCCGGUGAGCUCUUCGGACUGCGCGGUCUGCAGUUUCUGCGUUCCGUGCGGAAAGUUGCGCAAACCUUAACAUUUAGAGGAAGGAGAAGUCGUAACA